rnacentral:rRNA from 1 species
UGGGGAAUUGUUCGCAAUGGGCGCAAGCCUGACGACGCAACGCCGCGUGGAGGACGAAGAUCUUCGGGUCGUAAACUCCUUUCGAUCGGGAAGAACGGAUCUUGGCCUAACACGCCGAGAGAGUGACGGUACCGAGAGAAGAAGCCCCGGCUAACUCCGUGCCAGCAGCCGCGGUAAUACGGGGGGGGCAAGCGUUGUUCGGAAUUACUGGGCGUAAAGGGCCAGUAGGCGGCCAACUAAGUCCGACGUGAAAUCCCCAGGCUUAACCUGGGAACUGCGUCGGAUACUGGAUGGCUUGAAUUCGGGAGAGGGAUGCAGAAUUCCAGGUGUAGCGGUGAAAUGCGUAGAUAUCUGGAGGAAUACCGGUGGCGAAGGCGGCAUCCUGGACCGACAUUGACGCUGAACGGCGAAAGCUAGGGGAGCAAACGGGAUUAGAUACCCCCGUAGUCC